rfam:Caloramator quimbayensis strain TSBA 833 genome assembly, contig: Ga0105845_167
GCCGAAGUGGCGGAAUUGGCAGACGCGGCGGUCUCAAAAACCGUUGGGUACUCCCCAUGCCGGUUCGAGUCCGGCCUUCGGCA